rnacentral:rRNA from 1 species
AGAGUUUGAUCCUGGCUCAGAUUGAACGCUGGCGGCAUGCCUUACACAUGCAAGUCGAACGGUAACAGCACUUCGGUGGCUGACGAGUGGCGGACGGGUGAGUAAUACAUCGGAACGUGCCCGAUCGUGGGGGAUAACUACUCGAAAGAGUGGCUAAUACCGCAUACGAUCUACGGAUGAAAGCGGGGGAUCGCAAGACCUCGCGCGGACGGAGCGGCCGAUGGCAGAUUAGGUAGUUGGUGGGAUAAAAGCUUACCAAGCCGACGAUCUGUAGCUGGUCUGAGAGGACGACCAGCCACACUGGGACUGAGACACGGCCCAGACUCCUACGGGAGGCAGCAGUGGGGAAUUUUGGACAAUGGGGGAAACCCUGAUCCAGCCAUGCCGCGUGCAGGAUGAAGGCCUUCGGGUUGUAAACUGCUUUUGUACGGAACGAAAAGACUCUUUCUAAUACAGAGGGUCCAUGACGGUACCGUAAGAAUAAGCACCGGCUAACUACGUGCCAGCAGCCGCGGUAAUACGUAGGGUGCAAGCGUUAAUCGGAAUUACUGGGCGUAAAGCGUGCGCAGGCGGUUAUAUAAGACAGAUGUGAAAUCCCCGGGCUCAACCUGGGAGCUGCAUUAGUGACUGUAUAGCUGGAGUGCGGCAGAGGGGGAUGGAAUUCCGCGUGUAGCAGUGAAAUGCGUAGAUAUGCGGAGGAACACCGAUGGCGAAAGGCAAUCCC